rnacentral:lncRNA from 1 species
AUAAAUAUUUGUUGAUAAUUAUCAAGGUAGACAAAUCUGUCUAUAAUUAUUUGUCUACAAACAUCUAUUAGUGAUUACAAACAGAUUUUGAGUGUCCGUAAAAUCUAUUAUUAAAUAUUAUGAUAUGAUUAUCUUCUUUUUCCUCUUUGUUUGAUUUCAUCUCGUCAUCGUCCACUACUACUUACUUUUUCUUUUUAAUUUUUCUUUCAUCUCCUUCUCUUCUUUGUUUUUUUUCCUAUCAUCUUUCUCUUCCUCGUUCUUUUCAUCAUUCAUCACUAUCGGUAUGGUCUCUACUGUCACGGCCGUUACUCUAUUAUUGUGCCACUUUUGUAAUUGCACGGUUACCUUUGUCUUUGCCUCUCCUCCUCUCCCUC